CCGCCCGUCGCUUCAUGUCGCGCAGUGCGGGACAUAAACACGGCGCGGCGUGACCUCCGGGGGACGGGGGAGGGGUUCGGCCCGGCUGGGAUACGGCACCGACGGCCAGGACAGGGCAGCGGGCCGGUGGGGACGGGAAGGAGGAGGCGUUGGGGCAGGCGGAGGGCCGAGUGCCGCGCUCCUUCCUCCUGCAGGUUGGAUGGUGGUUUCCCUUCGUCUGGUCGAUCAUUGUGACGUUUUAUUUUCUCUGCUGAAGAGAGUUAAAAGCAGGAUCGAGAAAUGAGGAGGGUUUUCCUUGUGGAGCCGGUCAUUUUCAUCUACAUAUUUGCUCAUUCCCUGAUGAACCCGGUGGUGCAGCAGUUCAUUUACCGAAAGCUGUGGGAAGAGGAGUACAACUCCACCGCCAUAAGCAGCGACAACAGCAGUCACUGUGAGCAAAACAAAAGCAGCCCAACUUAUGUCAUGCAGAAGGGAGUUCAAGAGAAGACUUCUCUUUUUAAUAUGCAGCUGGACUUAACAGGGGCAGUUCCCAGCCUGAUAGUUGCCUUUAUCAUCGUAGCUAAUGGGGAUCGCCAGGGACGAAAAAAGUCUUUGGUUUUACCAUCAAUUGGAGCUUUGAUUGCAGAUAUUUUCCUCACUAUAAUAUCACAUUUUUCCUUGUCAACCUCUGUCCUGUUUGUGGUUUCAUUUAUUUCGGGACUGUUUGGGAGUAUGGCGACUUUCCUUGGAGGAGGCUUUGCUUAUAUAGCAGAUCAGUGUCACGAUGAGAAGCAGAAAACUACACGAAUAGCUGUGGUUGAUUUAAUUUUUGGAAUUGUAUCUGGAUUGGCAGGACUGUCUUCUGGGUACUUUUUAAGAGAAAUAGGCUUUACGUGGACAUUUGUGAUAGCAUCUCUACUUCAUGUUGUUAACAUUAUCUAUAUUAUUUUUUUUUUGGAAGACACAGUGCACAUAUCUGAAUUCCAGCAACAGGCACCAUUAUCUUAUAAAGAACUUCUAAAAGAAGCAUUUUCUGGAGUGUACAUGCUUUUUAAAACUGCCCCGUCCAAAAAGAGAAUUUUAAUCAUUGUGUUACUUUUUACAUUUAUGACUUAUUUAUUUACUGUCUUUGGUGGGAGUUCACUUUUUACGCUGUAUGAACUGGAUGAGCCGCUGUGCUGGAAUGAAGUGUACAUUGGAUACGGAGCAGCUGCAUUCACUUCUGUCUCUCUGACCAGUUUUUUGGGAGUUUAUUUAUUUUCUAAAUGUCUCAAAGACAUUUACAUUGUAUUUAUUGGGAUAUUUUCUUACAUUGGAGGAAUUGUCAUGGCUGCCUUUGCCAAAACAACCCUGCUCAUGUUUUUAGUAAGAGUGCCAUCUUUACUCUGCCUUAUGCCUGUUCCUGUUCUCCGAUCCAUGCUGUCAAAAGUGGUUCUCCCCAGUGAGCAGGGUGCUGUGUUUGCUUGUAUAGCCUGUUUAGAAGUUGUGACUGGCACUAUUUCACUUUCAGUCUUUAAUGUUAUCUAUGCAGCUACUGUUGCAUGGUUUUCAGGCUUUAGCUUCCUCUUGUCAGCCAGCCUGUGUCUAAUUCCACUGGGUGUACUGUGCUGGCUUCUGUGCACAAGCUGGAAUCGGGAGGACUUGGCUCUGCUUGUACCUGAAGAAGUAUCCAGCAUAGACAGCGUUGAUAGUUGAACAGAGGAGUCACCAACUAUUUGGCUUUUCUAAUCUGACAUGCAGUGGCAGAGACCAUUGUGUCAUACUGAGACCAUAGAGAUAACUCAAGAGUUGCAGAUGAAAUCUAAAACUGGCCCUGCAGCAAUAAGCACUGAAUUGAUAGCACUCUACAUCCAGUCUUUUUUUAGCACUUGGAUAAACCUAUCUCCUGUACUUAACUAUGUGGAUAGGCUGGCAAUGGAGAUUUUAAUGCUGCUUUCAGCAUGGAGAAAAAAGUAAGUUCUUGAUGUGGCUUUUGGCAAACAGGCAACGGGAGGACUGGUGGAGUAACUCUUCUGUAAACAGAAGCAGCAGCACUAUGCUAUCGUCUGUUUGUGCAGUCACAGCAAACAAGCAGCAGCACAGGAAGAUGUGCUUUUGCUUCCCUCCUGUGCUGGGGGAGAGGAAAGGAUGCUGCCCAGAACACCGGCACCAACAGGAACUACAGAACAGGGACAGCACUGCUGUCUGCCAGAGAUCAGUGUGGGGGCUGCAGUGCUGCAUGCUAGACCCAAGCACUUGAGAGCACCUUCCUCCCCCGGCCCAGGCCGAGUCCCAGCAGAGCCCCAGCAGCAGGGCUGACCCAGCUGGCUGCACACCUCACGUGGCACGCCUCUGCUCAGGCCAUGCAGCAGCCUUACAGAAAGAAGCCUGGAGGGACAGGGGGAAGGGGCUGGGGGAAGAAAGACCAGCCGCCACCUCAACCAAUUUAGCAGUAACCCUUCCUUUUAAUCCCAAAAGUGCUUUGCUUCAGUUUGACUCCCAUUACUUUAACAGCAUGCCACGUAAGUUCUUGUACAUGCUUCAUACACACGCCAUUUGCUUUCUAGCCAGGCUAACUCCUAAAUUUAGCUUCCUUACAGACAUGAUGAACAAUGCAGCUCCCCUGCUCUGAAUAUGGUUUGAUCUCACCCUGUCCUGAGCCUACUGCACCACAGUCUAGUGAAACCCAACCUGCUUGCUCUACAACAGCUUGCUCUUCCUUUAUACAUAACCACCAAGAAAUUUCAAUCACGUAUAUUGAAUAUGAGCAGAAUUUCCUGCUAGUUUAAAGUAUACCAGCUCACAGAAAGAACAGCUACAUAAAACAUUGAGUAGGUCUACACUUUCAUGUUGAAUUUAUCAGUCCUUUCAUAUAACCUCACUAAGGCAACAAAUACAACUGAGGACUUAACUUGUAUUUCAUAAGAAAACCUCUAAUCUCUCCAACUCUUAAAAGGCAAUAUUCUUAAAAGGCAAUUUUAAGUUUCUUUUCUUAAAAUGAACAAAACAGCCAGUAAAUUAUCUUGUGUCAUCUCAGUGUUUUUAAUUUGCUGCAACAUUUUGCAAUAAAUAUGCACCAUGAAAUUUACAUGAGGAUAGUUAGAGGCUGUAGUGCAUAUGGGUAAGGGGUUUAUGGCAAUUUUAAGCAUACUGAAAAGCCCAAGAGAUGCC